CCUGACGGACACUGGUAGCAGUAGCAGGCACCCACACGGACAAGACGGCUGGAGCUAGCGGCAGCGACGGCAAAGCCCUGGCUCCCAGGACUGAGAUCAUAGAAAUGAAUGAUGAAUUAAGAAGCAGGCAAGAAAUUGUGAAUGAAUUGAACAUACUUUUGGAAGAAAAUGAGACUUAAUAUGAGAAUUAAGAAGUUUGGUACAAUUACAAAUGAAGAAUUCAGAAAAUCACCAGGAAACUCUUGCACUUUGAAAAUGUGAUUCCACUGCCUUCUGACCACCAUUGUUUCAAUGACAAAUCAACUGUUAAUUACAUUGAUGCUCCUUUGCAUAUGUGGAUUCCUUUACUAUUACAUCUGAGCUGAGGUGGGUUUUUUUGUGAAAUGUUUGUUUCUCUACUUUCAAUCAUCAAAGAAUAUGAAGCAUCAAGUUGCUACUUAUCACCCACAGGGAUUAGUAGACCCAUUCCGCUCAAUUUAUUCUCUCCUUGGAAUUUAAUUUAGAAGCAUCGAUAUACUCUUAAAUGUAUAAGAAUUUAUAUCACUCAUAAUUAAAUAUCACUGAAAAAUUUGUUUUUCAAUGUAGUUAAUAUUUGUCAUUCAAAGAUUGUUCCUUUAUAUAUUAGAGAAUCAGGAAUAAAAGUAGUCUACUCAACUCUCCCUGGUUGGUAGUGGGUGAACAAGAGGAGAAAGAAAAUUGUUCAUUCUCAAUGGUAUCAUAUAGUGAAAAUAAUUCUGUUUCCUCAAUAAAGGAUCAUGAUGGUACACAGGUCUAUAUACAUGACUUUAGUCUCAGUCAUGCCAAAAAGAUUUUAUCCAGGUAGAACAAAGAAGGUGAUUUUUAUAAUAAUCUAAUAAUUUUAUUAAUUGCAAGCUUCUACUUUCAUGAUUAUCGCUUAAGAAGUGACUUGCUCGUGCUCCUUGUUUAGUGGAUAUAUUGUUUCCUAAAUUUAACUAGCAAAUAAUUCUCUCUAUCUACAACUUCUCUCAGAAUGCUAAAGAAAGACUAAAAAGGAUGAAUCUUAAAUGCAUGUAUUUAUAGGCAAAAUAAUGAUGACAUGAAGUUUAAAUCGGUUUUCCAAUGGAGGCAAUAAAUGUAUGUUCAGAGUCUUGUCCUCAAGGUUAGUAGCAUACCUCUAUGUCUGGCUGACCAGAGUUUUGGACACAUCUUGUGACCAUGGGACAAAACUACUUUAUCUCGUUGUGGAAUAAAUUCAUUAGCAAUAUGCAUUUAUAAGUUGCACAGUUCAUGUACUUGAUAGUAACAGAUUGGGCUGAUUAUAAAUGAAUCAUUCGGUUAUGCCUUACUGCUUCCAGGCAGUCCCCAAACAUGCUUGGUACUUCUGCUCUCAUAGCUCCCUAGAAUAUACUCCUUUUCUUUCUCCUUUCUUCCCUAUGCUUCCAUCUAUACCUCUCUCCUAGCCAAGUAAACUUUUUUCUUUUUAUUAAAGUAUAGUUGAUUUACAGUGUUGUGUUAAUUCCUGCUCCAAGUAAACUUUUUUUUUUUUUUUUUUGUCAUUUUUGGCUGCCUCAUGUCAUAUGGAGUUCCCGGGCCAGGGAUGAGAUCCAAGCCACAGUCACGACUUAAGCCUCAGCUGUGGCAGCACUGUUCCUUACCCGGGCCAGGGAUGGAAUCUGAGUCCCAGUGCUCCCAGGACGCCCCAACCACCUUGCACCACAGCGGAAACUCCUCCAGGUAAACUUCUAACUCAUCUUUGUAGUUUUGAAAUAUCUGUAGAUUCUUUUCUAGUCGUCUCACCUUUCCCCAGCCAUUUCCACUCUUCAUUCUAAAGAACAUUAAUUUUUCUUUCCACAUACUCAGCAAUUGUGUUGUCACCAGUAGUAUUUGUAUUUGUGGGCUCCUUAAAGGAGAGAUUAUUAUGUGUUUAACAUGUAGCAGACACUUAAGAGCUGUUUAUUGAAUGAAGGAUUAUAUGAAUACUUAUAAUUUCAUCAUUUUCAUUUUUGUUACAUUUAAAUAAAUGUUUGUUUCAUACUUAGAUAAAUUCUGAAAGACCUAUAGAUAGAUUUAGGUAGCCUAAAAGGAGGCAAAAGAUCUGAAAUUUUACUCUGAAAAUUGUAAUACACUGAUAAAAGAAAUCAAAGACUACACAAACAAGUGGAAAGAUAUACUGUGUUCUUGGAUUAGAAGGAUCAAUAUUGUUAAAAUGACCAUCUACCCAAGGCAAUCUAGCAAUUCAGUGUAAUCCUAUCAGAUUACCAAUGGCAUUUUCAUAGAACUAGAACAAAUGGUUUUUAAUUUGUAUAUAAAAUAAAAAAGGCUCUGAACAGCCAAAACAAUCUUGAGAAAGAAAAGCAGAACUUGAAUAAUCACACUCCCUGACUUCAGACUAUACUACAAAGCUACAGUAAUCAAAACAGUAUGAUGUUGGCAGAAAAACAGAAAUAUAGAUCAAUGAAACAAAAUAGAUUACCCAGAAAUAAACCCAUGCACCUGUGGUCAAUUAAUCUAUAACAAAGGAGGCAAGAAUAUACAAUGGAGAAAAGACAGUCUCCUCAAUAAGAGGUGCUAAGAAAACUGGACAGCUACAUGUAAAAGAAUGAAAUUAGAACAUUCUCAACAUCACAUACAAAAAUAAACUCAAAAUUGGAGUUCCCAUUGUGGUGCAAUGAAAACAAAUCCCACUAGUAACCAUGAGGUUGCAGGUUUGAUCCCUGGCCUCACUCAAUGGGUUAAGGAUCUGGCAUUGCCACGAGCUCUGAUGUAGGUUGCAGACAUGGCUCGGAUCCCACAUUGCUGUGGCUGUGGCAUAGGCUGGUGGAUGUAGCUCCAAUGUGACCCCCACCCUGGGAACCUCCUUAUGCUGCAGGUGUGGCUCUAAAAAAGCAAAAAAAAAAAAAAAAAAAA
rnacentral:lncRNA from 1 species